UACGUAGGGGGCAAGCGUUGUCCGGAUUUAUUGGGCGUAAAGAGCGUGUAGGCGGUUAGGUAGGUCCGUUGUGAAAACUCGAGGCUCAACCUCGAGACGCCGAUGGAAACCAUCUGACUAGAGUCCGGAAGAGGAGAGUGGAAUUCCUGGUGUAGCGGUGAAAUGCGCAGAUAUCAGGAAGAACACCCGUGGCUAAGGCGGCUCUCUAGUACGUGACUGACGCUGAGACGCGAAAGCGUGGGGAGCGAUCAGG
rnacentral:rRNA from 1 species